rnacentral:rRNA from 1 species
UCAAAAACAUGUCCUUUUGUUAAUAAUUUAAGGUCUGACCUGCCCAAUGAUUAUUUAAAUGGCCGCAGUAUACUGACUGUGCAAAGGUAGCAUAAUCAUUAGUUUUUUAAUUGUAAGCUGGAAUGAAUGGUUUGAUGAGAGAAUAACUGUCUCAAUUUAAUUGUAUUAGAAUUUUAAUUUUAAGUGAAAAAGCUUAAAUUUUAAAUGAAGACGAGAAGACCCUAUAGAGUUUAAUAUUUUCAUAUUAUGAUUGGUUUUAGUUUUAUUUAAAGUUUUGAUGUGAAAUUAUUUUGUUGGGGUGAUAUUAAAAUUUAAUGAACUUUUAAUUUAUUAUAACAUUUUUUUUUGAUUAGUUGAUCCUAAUUUUUAGAUUAUAAGAUAAAAUUACCUUAGGGAUAACAGCGUAAUUUUUUUUAAGAGUUCUUAUCGAAAAAAAAGUUUGCGACCUCGAUGU